CAGUUUGCGGCUAAUUCCAGAGUAUAAAGGCAUGCCUAAUUCUCCAAGGAUUCCAAGCAAAUCUCAAAAAAUACUUUGGAAGAGAAACACAUUAAAAAGAAAAAGAAAACUAAUCAAAUCUUAGAAGAA